CCCUUAGAUGUUCGGGGCCGCACGCGCGCUACACUGAAGGAAUCAGCACGUCUUUCUCCUUGUCCGAAAGGACUGGGUAACCCGCUGAACCUCCUUCGUGCUAGGGAUUGGGGCUUGUAAUUCUUCCCCAUGAACGAGGAAUUCCCAGUAAGCGCGAGUCAUAAGCUCGCGUUGAUUACGUCCCUGCCCUUUGUACACACCGCCCGUCGCUACUACCGAUUGGAUGGUUUAGUGAGAUCCUCGGAUUGGUCCCGGAGCGGCCUCUGGUCGUGCCGGAGUGCCGAAAAGAAUGUCGAACUUGAUUAUCUAGAGGAAGUAAAAGUCGUAACA
rnacentral:rRNA from 1 species